GUGGAAAAUAAUACUGACAUUGAUAAAAUUGGCUUGGUGUGCAUACUAGAGAAGAAUCAAAGGGAAAAAAAAUCAAAAAAAUAAUGAUGCAAUAAUUAGCACUAAUGAUUAAGAAUCUAAUUAAUCACUAAAAGAUGGGGGACCAAAAUAAAAAAUUGGAUAAGCGUGGAGACUAAUGGUCCAAUUAACCUUAUUUAUAUGAAAAAAAUGCUAUCUACCCACCUCAUGUAAUAUUAAAUAUACCUAUGUAAAUAUCAAUUCCCC
rnacentral:lncRNA from 1 species